UGAGGAAUAUUGCACAAUGGGCGAAAGCCUGAUGCAGCAACGCCGCGUGAGGGACGAAGGCCUUCGGGUCGUAAACCUCUUUUCUGGGGGACGAGUAAGGACGGUACUCCAGGAAUAAGUCUCGGCUAACUACGUGCCAGCAGCCGCGGUAAAGCGUAGGAGGUGAGCGUUAUCCGGAUUUACUGGGCGUAAAGCGUACGCAGGUGGCUUCGUUAGUCGGACAUGAAAGCUCCUGGCUUAACUGGGAGAGGUUGUUCGAUACUGCGG
rnacentral:rRNA from 1 species